UGAGGAAUCUUGCACAAUGGGGGAAACCCUGAUGCAGCGACACCGCGUGCGGGAAGACGGCCUUCGGGUUGUAAACCGCUUUUCCGGGGGACGAGGAAGGACGGUACCCCGGGAAUAAGUCCCGGCUAACUACGUGCCAGCAGCCGCGGUAAAACGUAGGGGGCGAGCGUUAUCCGGAAUCACUGGGCGUAAAGGGCGUCUAGGCGGCCAGCUAAGUCUCAUGUGAAAGCUCCCGGCUCAACUGGGAGAGGGCGUGGGAGACUGGGUGGCUAGAGGGUCGGAGGGGGGCGUGGAAUUCCCGGUGGAGUGGUGGAAUGCGUUGAGAUCGGGAGGAACACCAGAAGCGAAGGCGGCGCCCUGGCCGACUACUGACGCUGAAGCGCGAAAGCGUGGGGAGCGAACGGG
rnacentral:rRNA from 1 species